GACGAACGCUGGCGGCGUGCUUAACACAUGCAAGUCGAACGGAAAGGCCCUGCUUUUGUGGGGUGCUCGAGUGGCGAACGGGUGAGUAACACGUGAGUAACCUGCCCUUGACUUUGGGAUAACUUCAGGAAACUGGGGCUAAUACCGGAUAGGAGCUCCUGCUGCAUGGUGGGGGUUGGAAAGUUUCGGCGGUUGGGGAUGGACUCGCGGCUUAUCAGCUUGUUGGUGGGGUAGUGGCUUACCAAGGCUUUGACGGGUAGCCGGCCUGAGAGGGUGACCGGACACAAUGGGACUGAGAUACGGCCCAGUCACCUACAGGAGGGAGCAGUGGGGGAUAUUGCACAAUGGGCGGAAGGCUGAUGCAGCAACGCCGCGUGCGGGAUGACGGCCUUCGGGUUGUAAACCGCUUUCGCCUGUGACGAAGCGUGAGUGACGGUAAUGGGUAAAGAAGCACCGGCUAACUACGUG
rnacentral:rRNA from 1 species